CAACAGGGAUUCCCCUAGUAACGGCGAGUGAAGCGGGAACAGCUCAAAUUUGAAAUCUGGCCCUUGGGUCCGAGUUGUAAUUUGUAGAGGAUGCUUUUGGUGCGGUGCCUUCCGAGUUCCCUGGAACGGGACGCCUUAGAGGGUGAGAGCCCCGUACGGUUGGACGCCUAGCCUCUGUAAAGCUCCUUCGACGAGUCGAGUAGUUUGGGAAUGCUGCUCUAAAUGGGAGGUAUAUUUCUUCUAAAGCUAAAUACUGGCCAGAGACCGAUAGCGCACAAGUAGAGUGAUCGAAAGAUGAAAAGCACUUUGAAAAGAGGGUUAAAUAGCACGUGAAAUUGUUGAAAGGGAAGCGUUUAUCACCAGACUUUUUCUGGGGGGAUCAUCCGGUGUUCUCACCGGUGCACUUCCCCCAGUUGAGGCCAGCAUCGGUUUUCGGAGGGGGAUAAAAGUUUCGGGAAUGUGACUCCCUCGGGAGUGUUAUAGCCCGUUACAUAAUACCCUUCUGGGGACCGAGGUUCGCGCAUCUGCAAGGAUGCUGGCAUAAUGGUGAUCAACGACCCGUCUUGAAACACGGACCAAGGAGUCGAACAUUUAUGCGAGUGUUUGGGUGUUAAACCCUCACGCGUAAUGAAAGUGAACGGAGGUGAGAGCCCUUACGGGUGCAUCAUCGACCGAUCCUGAUGUCUUCGGAUGGAUUUGAGUAAGAGCAUAACUGUUCGGACCCGAAAGAUGGUGAACUAUGCGUGGAUAGGGUGAAGCCAGGAGAAAUCCUGGUGGAGGCUCGCAGCGGUUCUGACGUGCAAAUCGAUCGUCAAAUCUGCGCAUGGGGGCGAAAGACUAAUCGAACCAUC
rnacentral:rRNA from 1 species